GUAUGGGGAUCUGCCCGAUAGAGGGGGAUAACUACUGGAAGCGGUGGCUAAUACCGCAUAAUGUCUACGGACCAAAGCAGGGGCUCUUCGGACCUUGCACUAUCGGAUGAACCCAUAUGGGAUUAGCUAGUAGGUGGGGUAAAGGCUCACCUAGGCGACGAUCUCUAGCUGGUCUGAGAGGAUGAUCAGCCACACUGGGACUGAGACACGGCCCAG
rnacentral:rRNA from 1 species